GCAGAUCCACCUUGGCUAUCAUGCGACCACAUGUGAAACAAGGGAGAACCCAAAGGGACUUACAUACUUGUGUUGUACCUUGUCCCCUUUUGUCCACAGCAAACACGGUGUAUCAUUUGUGAGCAUCAAAAUCACUGACACAGUCAGUAACCAUCAUCUGUGAAACUGGAGGCAUCAUCCCUGUGCAUCCCUGUGUCUCCAUCAGUCACUUGUUUGUCAUUCAGGUGUUUUCAGGAGGACUGUGUGAGACUGGAGGAAUCCAGACUUUCUGAGGAAUCCAGAGUAGCUUCAGCUGACAGCAAGUCAGACAGGGCUGGUUCCUGUAGCACAACUCUGUGGUUCUCGUCCCAGUCACUGCUCCACACUCAGCACCCCUCACACCUGCAGUCCCUCUAUUCAACAUGCUGAUCUGGGAUCAGCCCAUAAAGGUACACACAGUCCCUUUGCCUUUAAAUGACCGAACAAGGGAAUGAAUGAGUCCCAUGACUUGUGCACUACAUGUCCAUUGUGACGAGCGAUCUUGUGAUUAUUGUUAGGAAUGUACAGACUUCAAGAUGGGGGAUCGUAGCUACCCUCAAUUAUUUGUGUGAAUAUUUUGAGAUAUCAUAGUUAUAUUGUAAAAAUGAAGAGUAAUUAUACUAAUCAAAAGUAUUAUCUGUACAGCAUACUAUAGUAAAAGGGUGUUUUGUUUAAUUUUG